GCCUUCUUAGCUUAGCUGGUAGAGCACCCGCUUAGUAAGCGGGAGGUCGUCGGUUCAACUCCGGCAGAAGGCU
rnacentral:tRNA from 1 species